AUUGAACGCUAGCGGGAUGCCUUACACAUGCAAGUCGAACGGAGCGGCGAACGGGUGAGUAAUGCAUCGGAAUGUGCCUAGUAGCGGGGGAUAACUACGCGAAAGCGUAGCUAAUACCGCAUACUAUCGGAGCAGCCGAUAUCGGAUUAGCUAGUUGGUGGGGUAAAGGCCUACCAAGGCGACGAUCCGUAGCUGGUUUGAGAGGAUGACCAGCCACACUGGGACUGAGACACGGCCCAGACUCCUACGGGAGGCAGCAGUGGGGAAUAUUGGACAAUGGGGGAAACCCUGAUCCAGCCAUGCCGCGUGUGCGAUGAAGGCCUUCGGGUUGUAAAGCACUUUAGGCAGGGAAGCGGUACCUGCAGAAUAAGCACCGGCUAACUACGUGCCAGCAGCCGCGGCAAUUC
rnacentral:rRNA from 1 species